CAUUCCUUGUGGAACUUACCACCAGUCAUGUCACUAGUAGUGUAACCGGGAGAAACGCAGUUGACGCGAGCAAAUUUGCGCCAUUCGACUGCCAAACUCUUGAUGAGUUGAAUGACACCGGCCUUGGAAGUGUUGUAAGCACAUUGUUGUUGAGGAACGUUAACAACAACACCAGACAUGGAAGCAGUAGCUACAAGGCUGCCAUGGCCUUGCUUUUGGAAGAUGGGGCCAGCAUUGUGAGCGACGUUGAAGACACCGAGCAAGUUGACGUUUAUUUCAUUAGCAAAUUCUUCGUAAGUCAUGUCAAUGGCGGACUUGCCAGUGCAAAUACCGUUGUUGGGCACAACGAUAUCAAUAGUAUCAAAGACCUUUUGAAUCUCAGCAAAGGCAUGUUCUACCUCUUUAGGAAUAGUGACAUCGCACUUGCAUGUAUAAGUCUUGACACCAUUAGCCUGGGCAAUUUCCUUUGCAGCCUUUUCGCCAGGAGUGGUGUUAUAGACGAUAAAGGCAUUGGCGCCAGCUUCAGCAAACACUGAGCAGAUAGCGUGACCAAUACCACGGGCACCGCCAAAGACGACAGCAUUUUUUCCCUUUAAUGAAAGGAGAUCUAAGAUAUUGCGAGACUCGUAAUUAUGAGCAGGAGCGACCAUUUUGUAGUAAUAAAAAUUCAAUCAAAGUUUUAUUAAGAUUUUUUGAAUGUUUUCUUCCAAUUGGGACCGAUAAACACAAUGGACAGAGAAGAGAGAACUAAACUACUGUUUAUAAAAUUCCUUGCAAUUGAGGAAAGAAAUGUCAGCGUUAAGUGAAUUACAAAAUAAGCAGGAUUUCAGCGCCAUUUUAUAAUAUUUUUGGAGAGUCGUGACGUUGGGAAAAAGCUCUUUUUAUUUUUUAUUUUGUUUUUCAGGUAGUGUUCUGGCUCCCGCGCACAACGACCAGUUCGUCAAAAACUGACAAAAUUCCUUCCUGCAACAUUACGAUAACAUUUAAUUAACAUUUUGCUGUAUCACAUUACAUAACACUAACGUCAAUUAGCGGAUCGAAAAAAGGUCUGAUACAAGGACCAGCUUUGGGUGUAUGGAAUUGCGUCAUCUUUUGGUGUAGCAUUUUGAAGAUCGGCAAUACACUGCUGUAUAGAGUUGAGUAUACGGGGCCAAGAGAUGUGCAAAGCGCCGUCUAUCGUACUACCGUAUAAUUCCAGUAUGGAAGAAGCAAAGACAUUGGAAUAAGGUAAUAAAGACAUCCCAGCUUGAAACAAAACAAUUGAAUGUGAUGCUUGCACGAAGCAGAAAUCGUUGAAUUGGUGUUGACGUGGAAGUGUACAAAAGAGGAUAAAUAACAAGUGGUAAACUUCAAAUCACAAGCUUAGGUUUGAUGAAACAAGGAGGGAUGAGAUGAAAAGCAAUAUACUAUAAACAUAACAGUUGGGAAAC